GGGGGGUAAGCUUCAUUGUCAAAAGGGAAACAGCCCAGAUCACCAGUUAAGGCCCCUAAAUAUUUGCUAAGUGGUAAAGGAUGUAAAGGUACCUUGACAACCAGGAGGUUUGCUUAGAAGCAGCAAUCCUUUAAAAAGUGCGUAAUAGCUUACUGGUCAAGUGCAUUUGCGCCGAAAAUGAACGGGACUAAGCAAUUUGCCGAAGCUGUGGGAUUAAUUAUCGGUAGAAGAGCGUUCUGUUUUAGGUUGAAGCAGUAGUGAAAACAAUUGUGGAUUAAGCAGAAGUGAGAAUGUCGGCUUAAGUAACGAAAACAUUGGUGGAAAUCCAAUGCUCCGAAAACCUAAGGAUUCCUCCGCAAGGUUCGUCCACGGAGGGUUAGUCAGGAUCUAAAAUGAGGUCUAACGACGUAGUUGACGGAAAACAGGUUAAUAUUCCUGUACUAUAUUUGUUUAAUUACGCUAAAGAGACGGAGUAAAAAGCUAGGUUAGCCAGGUUUUGGGUAUUAUUUGGAUCAUUUGAUUAUUGAAUGAAUACUGGUGCUACGGUGCUACAAUUAACUGAGGCAUACUUCCAAGAAAAUCUUUAGUAUUAAUAUAUAAUAGCAAAUAUACCUGUACCUUAAACUGACACAGGUAGGUUAGUAGAGAAUACUAAGGAGCGCGAGAUAACUCUUUCUAAGGAACUCGGCAAAAUAACUCUGUAACUUCGGGAGAAAGAGUGCCUUGUUUUUAAUUUAAUAAGGUCGCAGUAACCAGGCCCAGGCGACUGUUUACCAAAAACACAGGUCUCCGCUAAGUCGAAAGACAAUGUAUGGGGGCUGACGCCUGCCCAGUGCCGGAAGGUUAAAGAAAUUGGUUAGCUUUUGCGAAGCUAGUGACUGAAGCCCUGGUGAACGGCAGCCGUAACUAUAACGGUUCUAAGGUAGCGAAAUUCCUUGUCAGGUAAGUUCUGACCCGCACGAAAGGCGUAACGAUCUGGGUACUGUCUCGGAAAGAGACUCGGUGAAAUAGAAUUGACUGUGAAGAUGCGGUCUACUUGCACUUGGACAGAAAGACCCUAUGAAGCUUUACUGUAAUUUGAAAUUGGUUUUGGGUUUCUCCUGCGCAGCAUAGGUGGAAGGCAUUGAUUCUCUCUUUCGGGAGACGAGGAGCCAUAAGUGAGAUACCACUCUGGAGGAAUUAGAAAUCUAAUUGUAUUUCUUUAAACAAGAUACUUGACAGUUUCAGAUGGGCAGUUUUACUGGGGCGGUAGCCUCCUAAAAAGUAACGGAGGCGUACAAAGGUUUUCUCAGGCUGGACGGAAAUUAGUUGCAGAGUGUAAAGGCAUAAGAAAGCUUAACUGUUAGACUUACAAGUCGAUCAGGGACGAAAGUCGGUCUUAGUGAUCCGACGGUUCUGAGUGGAAAGGCCGUCGCUCAACGGAUAAAAGUUACUCUAGGGAUAACAGGCUGAUCUCCCCCAAGAGUUCACAUCGACGGGGAGGUUUGGCACCUCGAUGUCGGCUCAUCGCAACCUGGGGCGGUAGUACGUCCCAAGGGUUGGGCUGUUCGCCCAUUAAAGCGGUACGUGAGCUGGGUUCAGAACGUCGAGAGACAGUUCGGUCCAUAUCCGGUGUAAGCGUUAGAGUAUUGAAAGGAUCUUUCCUUAGUACGAGAGGACCGGGAAAGACACACCACUGAUGUGCCAGUUCUUAUUCCCAUAGGAUAUGCUGGGUAGUCAAGUGUGGAGUGGAUA
rnacentral:rRNA from 1 species